AGUAGAUCUAGCUAAAAUUUUACUCAUAAAUGUAAGUGAUCAUAUUUGCUCAAUUUAAGAUCUCAUGGGUGCUCGUAGUGAAAUUUAACUGAUUGUAUUUGCUCAAGUACUCAUGUAUGCGUGAACAAAUGUCUAAUUCAAAUACCUAAAAUUUUACAUGGAUAUGGUUACACAACUUAAUAAUUUUGGCAAUACAUGUACAUGUGACAUGUUAGUCCAAAUAAUUAUGACGUCUUGAAAGGCUAUUAUAUUUUUUUUCUUUGACGCCUAAUUAUUUGGACUAGUGACAUGUAUGGUCAAAAUUAUACAAUACUACAAGGAAGACUUAAAAAACA
rnacentral:lncRNA from 1 species